rnacentral:rRNA from 1 species
CAGCCGCCGCGGUAAUACGGAGGGUGCAAGCGUUAUCCGGAAUCAUUGGGUUUAAAGGGUCCGCAGGCGGUGCUAUAAGUCAGUGGUGAAAUCUCAUAGCUUAACUAUGAAACUGCCAUUGAUACUGUAGCACUUGAAUUCGGUCGAAGUGGGCGGAAUAUGACAUGUAGCGGUGAAAUGCAUAGAUAUGUCAUAGAACACCGAUAGCGAAGGCAGCUCACUAGGCCUGGAUUGACGCUCAGGGACGAAAGCGUGGGGAGCAAACAGGAUUAGAUACCCUGGUAGUCCACGCCGUAAACUAUCAAUACUCGUUUUCAGCGAUAUACAGUUGGAGACUAAGCGAAAGUGAUAAGUAUUGCACCUGGGGAGUACGAUCGCAAGGUUGAAACUCAAAGGAAUUGACGG